AUAACAAAGAAAACAAAAGAAAAAAUCGCAUCAUCUAAAGAGAAAGAAACAUGGGCAGUGAAAUAAUUUUUAUGAAGAUUUGCUACACUGGAUAAGAAUUAAACAAAAGACGGAUUCAGAAAAAGUGCCAAAUGAAAGUGUAGCAGAAAACAAAAGGAACACUCUUGUGAAUACAACCUAUGUUAGAUUACAAAACUAGGAAAUAACGGUAUAAACCUAAUGAAUUGAAAUUACAGAACUAGGAAGUAAGUGUAUGAACAUGAUGAAGUGAAUUACAAAACUAGGAAAUAAUUGUAUGAACCGAAUGAAGUGAAAUUACAGAACUAGGAAAUAACUGAUGUCAGAAGUGAAUUACAGAACUAGUAAAUAUAUGUAUGAACCUGAUGAAGUGAAUUACAUUUACAGAAAUGAAACAUCAUGGAUAUACUUUAUAAUUUUCAUUCUAGAUCUGAUGUUGCAACGUGUAGAUACAUAAAAUUAAACUUUUAAGAAUUUUCUCCUUGUCUAGAUAAAAUAAAUUAUGUAUUGGUAUUCA